rnacentral:rRNA from 1 species
UACGUAGGGUGCAAGCGUUAAUCGGAAUUACUGGGCGUAAAGCGCACGUAGGCGGCUCUUUAAGUCGGGGGUGAAAUCCUGGAGCUCAACUCCAGAACUGCCUUCGAUACUGAAGAGCUCGAGUCCGGGAGAGGUGAGUGGAACUGCGAGUGUAGAGGUGAAAUUCGUAGAUAUUCGCAAGAACACCAGUGGCGAAGGCGGCUCACUGGCCCGGUACUGACGCUGAGGUGCGAAAGCGUGGGGAGCAAACAGG